GUAGGGAAUAUUGGGCAAUGGAUGCAAGUCUGACCCAGCCAUCCCGCGUGCCGGAAGAAGGCCCUCAGGGUUGUAAACGGCUUUUGACGGUGAAGAAUCGACAGGAUGCGUCCUGUUUUGACGGUAGCCGUUGAAUAAGCACCGGCUAACUCCGUGCCAGCAGCCGCGGUAAUACGGAGGGUGCGAGCGUUGUCCGGAUUUAUUGGGUUUAAAGGGUGCGUAGGCUGGAAGGUCAGUCAGCGGUGAAAAGCUGUCGCUUAACGAUAGUCUUGCCGCAGAUACUUCCGUUCUUGGAUGAGGAGGAGGCCACUGGAACGGAUGGUGUAGCGGUGAAAUGCAUAGAUAUCAUCCAGAACACCGAUUGCGAAGGCAGGUGGCUGUACCUUAAUCGACGCUGAUGCACGAAAGCAUGGGGAGCAAACAGGAUUAGAAACCCUUGUAGUCC
rnacentral:rRNA from 1 species